rnacentral:tRNA from 1 species
GGAGAAUUCGCCUAGAGGCCCAGGGCGCACGCUUGGAAAGGUGUUGGGGGCGACCCCUCACGAGUUCGAAUCUCGUAUCCUCCGCCA